AAAUACGGGCGAGAGACCGAU
rnacentral:snRNA from 1 species